rnacentral:lncRNA from 1 species
CUUGAAGACAGCAUUGAAAGUCAUGUUUCAGUGUUUGCAGAUGACACAAAACUUUGUAAAAUAAUACAAUGUGAGCAAGAUAUUACUUUGCUGCAGAAGGAUUUAGAUAGACUGGGGGACUGGGCACUCAAAUGGCAGAUGAAAUGUAAUGUUGAAAAAUGCAAAGUUAUGCACUUCGGCAUAAAGAAUACACAAGCAACGUAUACCCUUAAUGGAAGCGAAUUAGGGAUAACACACGAAAAGGACUUGGGAAUUGUUAUAG